UUGAAUUAAAGCAGUCGGUGGAUGCCUUGGAUGUAUUAGCCGAAGAAGGACGUGCCAGGCCACGAUAGGCGUCGGGGAGCUGCCAAGAAGCUGUGAUCCGGCGGUGUCCGAAUGGGAAAACCUCCUCAUUAGUAAUAGUGGGGGCCCCGACAGCGCAAGCUUGUCGGGGGGGGAACCCGGGGAACUGAAAUAUCUAAGUACCCGGAGGAAAAGAAAUUAAAUAAGAUGCCGUCAGUAGCGACGAGCGAAAGCGGUCUAGUCCAAACUCCGACAUUACGUCGGAGGGUUGUAGGGCUCCAAUAUGGGACUACGAGAGAUAGUCGAACAACUCGGAAUAGUUGGCCAAAGAAAGUGAAAGCCUUGUAGAUGAAAUUUUGAGUAGCUCUAGGAGAUUCCUGAGUACCACGAGAGACGGCAAACUCUUGUGGGAAGCCGGGGCGACCACGCUCCAAGACUAAAUACUAAUACAUACCGAUAGUGAACAAGUACCGUGAGGGAAAGGUGAAAAGAAGGGUCGAUGACCCAGUGAAAUAGUACCUGAAACCGAUUGCUAACAAACAGUGGGAGGGCCGACGUAAGUCGAGCCUGACCGCGUGCCUAUUGAAGAAUGAGCCGGCGAGUCUUUGCUGGUGGCAAGGUUAAGUCGCUUGAAGCGACGGAGCCAUAGUGAAAGCGAGCCUGAAUAGGGCGAUUAGUUGCCAGCAGAGGACCCGAAGCCGAGCGAUCUAUUCAUGAGCAGGGUGAACCUCGAGUGAUAUCGGGGGGAAGCCCGAACCUGUGUAUGUUGCAAAAUGCUAGGAUGACUUGUGAAUAGAGGUAAUAUGCCAAACGAGCUCGGAGAUAGCUGGUUCUCCCCGAAAUAUAUUUAGGUAUAGCCUUUCCUUAUUUAGGCGCAGGGGUAAAGCACUGGAUGGGCAUUAGGGACUUGUCUCUGAUGCUCAACCAAACUCUGAAUACUGCGUUGAUAACGGAAGGAGUCAGUUGCUGGGGGCUAAGCUCCAGCCGCAAAAGGGAAACAACCCAGAUCUCCAGCUAAGGUCUCUAAAUCACUUGCUUAGUUUGUAAGGAGGUCGUAGUCCUUAGACAGCCAGGAAGUCGGCUUAGAAGCAGCCAUCUUUGAAAGAAAGCGUAACAGCUCACUGGUUGACGGAAGACGGCGCCGAAAAUUUAUCGAGGAUAAAGCAGUGUACCGAAGCUGAGACCCCGACAGCGCAAGCUUGUCGGGGGGUAGGGGAGCGUUCUAAGGGCAGUGAAGGGCCGAUGUAAAUCGCGCCUGGAGCGCUUAGAAGUGAGAAUGCCGGCAUGAGUAGCGGAACUCCGGUGAGAAUCCGGAGGGUCGAAAGUCCGAGGUUUCCUACGCAACGUUCGUCGGCGUAGGGUUAGUCGGGCCUAAGGCAAGCCCCGUGUAGUGCGGGGGUAGUCGAUGGACAACAGGUUAAUAUUCCUGUACCGGUGACCAAUCGUUAUUCCCGACGCAAGUCGGGAUAAACAGCUGGGGUGGGACGGAAUUUGAGAAGUCGAGCGUCUUAUUGAUUUGACGUCUAAAAGGCGAGUCAGUCCCGAUGUGAAAAUCAGUCGGGACGACGGCGAGUCUUGAUGGAGAGUUCUCCUUUGGGAGAGCAAUUCGACCGGCUUAAGUUUCCGAGAAAAGCAUCGCAGCGAGAAGGGUCACCGCCCGUACCGCAAACCGACACAGGUGGACAAGUCGAGUAGACUAAGAUCAGCGGAAGAACGGUGGUUAAGGAACUCGGCAAAUUAGCUGGGAGUAAUUUUGAGAGAUUCCCUGUCCGACGUUACGUCGGACCGCAGCGAAAGAGUGCCAAGCGACUGUUUAACAAAAACACAGGUCUAUGCAAAGGCGCAAGCCUAGGUAUAUGGGCUGAAACCUGCCCAAUGCCGGAAGGUUAAUUGAGAGGGUGACGUCCGACUUCGGUCGUGACCGAGCCUUCGAUCGAAGCCCCGGUGAAUGGCGGCUUUAACUAUAAGAGUCCAANNNNNNNNNNNNNNNNNNNNUAACUAUAAGAGUCCAAAGGUAGAAUCGCUGCCUUUGUAAAAUUUUGCUAUAUGCUGGAAACUCCGAGAAUCUUGAACUACUGCCUGUUUAUGUGUAAUACUACACAUAAUGGGAAGUAAAAAAGUUACAAGUGCGGACAAUCAGCAGGAAAGGCUAAAAACGAUUGGUUGGAUAGUUGGUUUCACAGAUGGUGAUGGUUGUUUUUGUAUUUCGAUAAACAAAAACCACAGAUUAAAACUUGGUUGGCAAGUGGUUCCUGAGUUUGUAAUAACUCAAGGAGAGAAAAGCCUAGAGAGCUUAAAACUUGUUAAAAAGUUUUUUAAAUGUGGAAGAAUCUUUAUUAAUCGAAGACAUGACAACCAUAAGGAAGACCUUCAUAGAUAUUGCGUGAGAAGUAUAGCUGACUUAGAAGAAAAGAUAAUUCCUUUCUUUGAGAAAAAUCAGUUAAAAACCUACAAAAGAAAAUCAUUUGAGACUUGGAGUAAAGCAGUGAAGUUGAUGAUAAACAAAAGACUUCAUUUAAGUAUGAAAGGGAUUAGAAAGUUAGCAGAAAUGUCAGCGGAGAUAAACCAACAGAAACGACCAAAGUUUUUAGAAUCCUCAGAGACUAUACGCAGAAGUCCCGCUAAGCGGGAUAAGAUAUAGUCCGAUCUCAUAAGCGAUUAUGAGUUAACAUUAUUAAGAGCGAAGUACCUUGUCGGGUAAGUUCCGACGCGCACGAAAGGUGUAACGACUUGGCAACUGUCUUGACCACUGAUCCGGUGAAAUUGAAAUGGCUGUGAAGAUGCGGCCUAUUGACUGCAGGACAAAAAGACCCCGUGGAGCUUUACUAUAACUUGACAUUGGUUUAUUUAAGUUGAUCGUCUAGGAUAGGCGGGACCCCGACUUUAUGUCGGGGGCCAGUGUAAUACCGCUCGUUAACUUGAGUAAAUCUAACUUAUGAUCUCUGGAAACGGGAUUAGGGACAGUGUCUGGGAGGUAGUUUCGCUGGGGAGGUGGUUUGCUAAAAAGUACCGCAAACGCGCAAAGGUACCCUUAGCGCGGAUAGAAAUCGCGCUGAAAGUGUAAAGGCAAAAGGGUGCUUGACUGUGACACUUACAAGUGAAGCAGGAGCGAAAGCUGGCCUUAGUGAUCCUCGAAUCCGUUGUGGAACGGAUCGGGCUUAUCGGAUAAAAGCUACCCCGGGGAUAACAGAGUAGUCGCACCCAAGCGUCCACAGC
rnacentral:rRNA from 1 species